ACCGACGUCUCAUUUUGGGAAAGGGUGGGCACUUCCUUGAGUCUUUUAGACCCCCUUUGCCCUGAAGAAUGAAGCAUCAUGGGACUGGACCAUUGAUGGGAGAACCAAGAGGGAAGUACCAUUUUUUAUGUCCCUGGGAGAUUCUAAGAGUCAUCAUCUAAAUAACAGCUCCUGGUCACAACAGAUUCUUCUCCCAAGAACUGGCUUUGUUUUUACUGUGGCGAGUGUCUAAAGACCAUAAACUCUGGGACACGGUCUGUGAUUUCUAUGCUGAGUGCGCAUUUUCGUGGUGUUACUGAGAGCACUUAGGUUUCUUCCUGCACCUCCAGGCUGACUCAGGAUACCCCUUCACGAAGGCUCUUACUAUUCCAGUCCUGACAGUUGUGACCAAGACUUAUGAGUCAUUCACCCUGUAUUUUCCGGGGGGACUGUGCAGGCUUCCCCAGCUUGCUGUGGGAACACCCACUUGAGAGCCAGUCUUUCCAGUCCAGGCUCGCUCUUCCUUUCUCUCCCUUGGUCCGCUCAGUGACCCAGAGCCCCAAGUUUCUCAGUCAGAGUGAUAGCAAUUACUUCUUGCAGAGAGGAUUAUUUUCCCAAAGAGGUCACAGUUUCCUCGAGGACUUUUACGUCACGCCAGUACCGGGCUACCUAAUGAUUGAUGGAUACACUGAUCUUCUAGAAAGCUUUUCAAGUUACAAAUAAAAAAGUUUAACGAGAAUCUAGCCUUCUUUUCUGAGUACGACUUGUCAUGUUUUAGCUACAGAGUCUACUGUCACCCCCUAAAAGUACACACCUGCACCCCCAGGCCUGUGCUGAAGCUGCUUCCCGCCCUGGAGGGCUGUUCACCACAGCAGCCCUGUGGAACCAUCCCCUUCCCUCCCUCCGAGUCCAGCUCAAGUCCCGUCCCCUCUAAGAUGCUCUCUUCCCUUGUUCUGCAGCAGCAGUUCACCCUGUGCCUCCAGAAAGCAGGGGCCAAUCUUCACCUUUUGUCCUUACAAGUGCCCCGCAGAGUGCAUUGUACAGAGUAGGC